CUGUUCCAGCUGAAGCCAAGUUUAUGUGGCAGAUGGAUUGUUGGAGCUAGGCAUAUUCUCUGCAGUUUUAUGUUUAAUUUUUACCACUGUGAGAAAAAAAAAAGUUACCUGUGCAGAGCACAGUCCCCAUUUUUACUUUCUUCUGGUCUGACUGAGCUGAUGGUUGUGGCAGGAUUUACUAAAUUAAAAUACAGUAAAACCACUGACUCCUGAUAUUUUGAUGAAUGUGCAACUGCC
rnacentral:lncRNA from 1 species